GCGUGAGUGAUGAAGGCCUUAGGGUUGUAAAGCUCUUUCGGCGGGGAAGAUAAUGACGGUACCCGCAGAAGAAGCCCCGGCUAACUCCGUGCCAGCAGCCGCGGUAAUACGGAGGGGGCUAGCGUUGUUCGGAAUUACUGGGCGUAAAGCGCGCGUAGGCGGUUCCAGCAGUCGGGCGUGAAAGCCCCGGGCUCAACCCGGGAAUAGCGCACGAUACUUUGGAGCUAGAGUCCGGGAGAGGAGAGUGGAAUUCCCAGUGUAGAGGUGAAAUUCGU
rnacentral:rRNA from 1 species